rnacentral:rRNA from 1 species
GACGAACGCUGGCGGCGUGCCUAAUACAUGCAAGUAGAACGCUGAAGCGAGGAGCUUGCUCUUCUUGGAUGAGUUGCGAACGGGUGAGUAACGCGUAGGUAACCUGCCUUGUAGCGGGGGAUAACUAUUGGAAACGAUAGCUAAUACCGCAUAACAAUGGAUGACCCAUGUCAUUUAUUUGAAAGGGGCAAAUGCUCCACUACAAGAUGGACCUGCGUUGUAUUAGCUAGUAGGUGAGGUAACGGCUCACCUAGGCGACGAUACAUAGCCGACCUGAGAGGGUGAUCGGCCACACUGGGACGGAGACACGGCCCAGACUCCUACGGGAGGCAGCAGUAGGGAAUCUUCGGCAAGGGGGGCAACCCUGACCGAGCAACGCCGCGUGAGUGAAGAAGGGUUUCGGAUCGUAAAGCUCUGUUGUAAGUCAAGAACGAGUGUGAGAGUGGAAAGUUCACACUGUGACGGUAGCUUACCAGAAAGGGACGGCUAACUACGUG